GUGGGGAAUAUUGGACAAUGGGCGAAAGCCUGAUCCAGCCAUGCUGCGUGUGUGAAGAAGGUCUUCGGAUUGUAAAGCACUUUAAGUUGGGAGGAAGGGCAGUAAGUUAAUACCUUGCUGUUUUGACGUUACCAACAGAAUAAGCACCGGCUAACUUCGUGCCAGCAGCCGCGGUAAUACGAAGGGUGCAAGCGUUAAUCGGAAUUACUGGGCGUAAAGCGCGCGUAGGUGGUUCAGCAAGUUGAAGGUGAAAUCCCCGGGCUCAACCUGGGAACUGCCUCCAAAACUACUGAGCUAGAGUACGGUAGAGGGUAGUGGAAUUUCCUGUGUAGCGGUGAAAUGCGUAGAUAUAGGAAGGAACACCAGUGGCGAAGGCGACUACCUGGACUGAUACUGACACUGAGGUGCGAAAGCGUGGGGAGCAAACAGGAUUAGAAACCCUAGUAGUCC
rnacentral:rRNA from 1 species